UACGUAGGGUGCAAGCGUUAUCCGGAAUUAUUGGGCGUAAAGAGCUCGUAGGCGGUUUGUCGCGUCUGCUGUGAAAACUGGGGGCUCAACUCCCAGCCUGCAGUGGGUACGGGCAGACUAGAGUGCGGUAGGGGAGAUUGGAAUUCCUGGUGUAGCGGUGGAAUGCGCAGAUAUCAGGAGGAACACCGAUGGCGAAGGCAGAUCUCUGGGCCGUGAACUGACGCUGAGGAGCGAAAGCAUGGGGAGCGAACAGG
rnacentral:rRNA from 1 species